rnacentral:lncRNA from 1 species
CUACCUGAAGGAGAGGCCCCCGGCGGAAAGUUUGUUGUGGGAUUUUUGAGUAGUCGCGCUGGAAGCUUGAAGACCCAGGGACCCCAGGGACCCCAGGGACCGGAAGAAAUCACAUUGCCUGCUUGGAAAGACGAGGAGCUCUUGGCUAGAGGAAGUAGAGGGGCCGUGGGAUGAGGAGAGCGGAAGGCUAACUCCAGGAGAGCAGAACAGAGAGAGGUGCCAGCGCGCAGACGGUCACCGAGCCAACACCUUCCAGGAUGACCAGUGCUGCCCCUGCUAAGAAACCUUACCGGAAGGCACCUCCCGAGCAUCGAGAGCUGCGCCUGGAAACCCCUGUGUCCCGGCUUGAGCAACAGGAGCCCUUGACGGAUGCAGAGAGGAUGCAGUGAGUAUUGACUCCCGUCACUGGACUGCGCACUGUGCCCUUUUCACUCCCUGCUGGGCUAUUGGCAUCACCAGACUCCCUUACAUCUGCCCUUC